AUGUGGGUGCAGGCAGGAUGGGCCAUGCCGUGUCCUCGUGUCCCUGCCCUCCUGCUGCUGGUGGUGCUUGGUACUGGUGUGUGCAAGCAAGACAUCUGCAGCUCCAGAGCUGGUGGUACUCUCCAGGCUCCAGUCCUGUUCCUUAACAGUUCAAGAGCUCAGGAAGGGGACGUUGUCCUGGCUCAAUGUGUUCUCCAGAACCAGUUUCCUGCUACCCGAAUUGUCUUCUGCAAGGAUGGGUUGGAGGUGCGCAGCAUGAAAGCCAAACAGAACACGGUCAUCUACUCCAUGCUGCUGAGCAUCACUGAGGGAAGCAGCGGGACAUACAAGUGUUUGUACGAGCAGAAGAAUGAGAAAAACUGGCUGAGGAGCUCUGUCCUCAGUGCCCCCCGGGACCUGCAUGUCACAGGUCUUGUGUCUGAUCACACAGCACGAGCUGCACCCCCAGACCCCAACUCUCCUCUGAACCCCGUAGUCAUUCAUGUGGUAUUGGUUGCUGUCACCCUCCUCCUGUCUGCAGCCAGCUUCUGGAUCAUUAGGAAAGGUGGCUGCGGGGAGAGAUGCCAAAGGUGA
rnacentral:lncRNA from 1 species